rnacentral:lncRNA from 1 species
UCCAAGGCCCUCCUGGUCCUCCUCUCUCUGGGUUGCUUUGUCAGCGUGGCGAUACUUCGAUAGAGCUGCCUUGUUUGUGGAAGCCUGUCUCAAGUACGGUGCACAGAAGCUCAUUGCUGCCAUCUACGCAGACUAUGCCCGGAGCCUGAAGAGCCUCGGCUUUAGACAGGGAGCAGUGCGUUUUGCUUCAAAAGCUGGAGCGGCUGGCAGAGAUUUGUUGAAUGAGCUUGGGUCCACCAAGGAAGAGCUAACGGAAAGUUGACAGGCUCCGCGCAGGAAUCUGAUGUCGGAAGCGAGGGGUGAGGAGAGCUGACCUGGCUGUGCUCCUGGUCACAGCUAUGGUCAGUCCAGACCUGCGUGAGGGCUUGGCCCUUGUUAGCUGUGACACCACCUUCUUAAGUUCGAAGGUGCUCAGCAGCAUAGGCCCAUACACUAGGAGCCAGUUCUGUGUCCCAGGUGACCUCAAAAUGGGGACACAUAGUGGGAAAGUAUAUGGUAUUUAUACUUUGGAAAGUGCUUUUAAGAUCUCUGUGAAUACUUUUCAAUUUUUGUAACUUAAAAAUUCAAAAAACUGAAUUACUGUCCUUUCUCAUUAGCUAUUUUGAAGAUGUUUAAGAAAUCUGUGGCAAGAGAUGGGGCUUCUGAUGGAUUUUCAGAUAUGUGCUGUGUGUGCCUGUGUUGAUAAGCAGUCAUUUAGGACACAGCAGGGCAGAAGCAUUUGACCAACCACAGCACCUCUUUUCUUGAGGACGUGGUGGAUUCUUUGCUUUAGACAUUGCUGAACUUUGUAUUUGGGGCUCAUAGUCUUCAUGGAGCACGUCUAAGCUUAAUGUUUAGCGUCCGUGGUCUCUGAUGGUCUGAAUUUUAACUCCCAGGAUAUGUUCCAGAAACCUCAUUUCUGAAGCCUCUUUGUACAUUUCCCACCUUUGUUUUCUUCCACUAGAUGUAAUUAUUAUAAAUUAUUACUCAGAACUUAAACAUCUGUGACUAUAAAAAUGAUAAAUAAAGGAAAAUCCCAGCC